rnacentral:rRNA from 1 species
UACGUAGGGCGCAAGCGUUGUCCGGAAUUAUUGGGCGUAAAGCGCGCGUAGGCGGCUUCUUAAGUCUGGGGUGAAAGGUUCAACGCUCAACGUGAACAGUGCCUUGGAUACUGGGAAGCUUGAGUUCGGGAGGGGGCAGUGGAAUUCCAAGUGUAGCGGUGAAAUGCGUAGAGAUUUGGAGGAACACCAGUGGCGAAGGCGACUUUCUGAACCGUAACUGACGCUGAGGCUCGAGAGCGUGGGGAGCAAACAGG